rnacentral:rRNA from 1 species
ACGAACGCUUGCGGCGUGCUUAACACAUGCAAGUCGAACGGAAAGGCCCUGCUUUUGUGGGGUGCUCGAGUGGCGAACGGGUGAGUAACACGUUAGUAACCUGCCCUUGACUUUGGGAUAACUUCAUGAAACUGGGGCUAAUACCGGAUAGGAGCUCCUGCUGCAUGGUGGGGGUUGGAAAGUUUCGGCGGUUGGGGAUGGACUCGCGGCUUAUCAGCUUGUUGGUGGGGUAGUGGCUUACCAAGGCUUUGACGGGUAGCCGGCCUGAGAGGGUGACCGGCCACAUUGGGACUGAGAUACGGCCCAGACUCCUACGGGAGGCAGCAGUGGGGAAUAUUGCACAAUGGGCGGAAGCCUGAUGCAGCAACGCCGCGUGCGGGAUGACGGCCUUCGGGUUGUAAACCGCUUUCGCCUGUGACGAAGCGUGAGUGACGGUAAUGGGUAAAGAAGCACCGGCUAACUACGUG